ensembl:snoRNA
AACCCCAUAAAGAAGCGGGCAAAGUAAGGUCUUUGAGGAACAUGGAUGCUUAUUGCCUCUGCCUUCCUUGGCUGCCUACAUGA